GUUCUGGGCUUCUGGCUGCAUUCUAGGAAGAUCAUUCCUUAAAAGAAAUAGCCAUAUGGCUUAUAAGGAUUGUGUGUCCAGUGUUCAGAAGAGUGCCUGGCACAUCAAAAGUGCUGAGUUAAUGUUUAUUGGGUAAAUGAAUACAGUUUUGGGAAUCAUGAACAUUGAGAACCUAGGCCCAGACAAUUCUAAGGGACUAUAUCUUAAGACUAUGUGUCUUCUGCAGUUCUUUGCAUAGAGUCAACGUUGAAGGACAAGCAACUUCAAAUUUCCAAGCAACAAAAUUAUGUUCGGGUGGUUUUCUGAAAGCGAGAUCUUAAGAACCACCUGUAUCAGAAUCCCAUGAAGAGCUUGUUUAGUGUGCAAAUUUACAGAUUGUCCCCCCUCAGAAAUGCUCAUUUAGGAGUUCCUGUCCUUUGCGGGGACAUGGAUGAAGCUGGAAACCAUCAUUCUCAGCAAACUAACACAGGAACAGAAAACCAAACACUGCAUGUUCUCACUCAAAAGUGGGAGUUGAACAAUGAGAACACAUGGACACAGGGAGGGGAACGUCACACACCAGGGCCUGUCGGGGGUGGGAGGUAAGGGGAGGGAGAGGAUUAGGACAAAUACCUAAUGCAUGUGGGGCUUAAAACCUAGAUGAUGGGUUGAUAGGUGCAGCAAACCACCAUGGACAUGUAUACCUAUGUAACAAACUUGCAUGUUCAGUACAUGUAUCCCAGAACUUAAAGUAAAAUAUAAAACAAUAAUAAAAA
rnacentral:lncRNA from 1 species